rnacentral:rRNA from 1 species
GACGUAGGAGACGAGCGUUGUCCGGAGUUACUGGGCGUAAAGCGCGCGCAGGCGGCGGUGCUGGCCCGGCGUGAAAGCCCCCGGCUCAACCGGGGAGGGUCGUCGGGGACCGCACCGCUUGAGGGCGGUAGGGGCUGGUGGAAUGCCUGGUGUAGUGGUGAAAUGCGUAGAGAUCAGGCGGAACACCCGUGGCGAAGGCGGCCAGCUGGGCCGUCCCUGACGCUGAGGCGCGAAGGCGUGGGGAGCGAACGGG